UUAGCGAUAUCAGAAUCGGCGGGCUGUUCAUGCCGCUGAUCCAGUCCCUGGCCGAUAGAGCAGGACAGGUGCCCACCGUGUCCGGGUACAGGUCCUCCUGGAAUUGGUCGCUCUGCGAAAGUGAAAGUCGACGAUCAGCCGGUCGGAAUUGCUAAUUGAUAGGUCAACGGGAUAAUAUAUCACCUUUCGCGGGACUAUCAUCGCGAUCGGUUCGCAGAGCCCGCGAGUCGCGUGCAGCUUGUAGAACCUGAACACCUCGCAGAUCGAGGUGCUCACCCCUCUUUUUGGCAUCACACCCAGCCCUCUCUGAGGGUUGCCGGAGAUGAACUGGCUGAGGUAGUGCAUCCAGGGAGCUUCGUUCACUACCUCGUAGUACCUGAUGUUGCCGUCACCCUAGGUCAGAACGAAAUCGUAGAACGCUUUGAGAUUACGAUCGCAAGGGAUCUAUAGAAGAGGCUCGAGCCUACCUUUCCCGCUAGGUACACCAUGUUGGUGUCGUUAUCGUAGUACGGAAAGACGACCCCGCUAGAGGAAUCGAUGGUCUCGCAGACCAGCGGAACGGUCAGAUCGUGCUGGCUCCAGAUAGCGUACUGCCUGUCCGAGUGUCUGCUGAAGCCUGUAGUCAGAAGCCUCCCCGAACCACCGAGGAACACCACCUUGCUAGCUUUGGUCCCAGCGUGACAGACUCCUUCCUGCCCAAGCGGUAAUCGAGAGCGGUUUUAUCAAAGCCUCCGCGGUCUAUGAAGCAAUUAAGUAGACACCUACCGAGACUACGAUGCCGGAUCUCGGCUCGAACACCCUCAACUUUUUGUCUUUGCAUGUGGUCGCCAGCAAGCUGCCGUCACGGUUCAACGAUAUGCUAUAGAUCACAUCCGGAUGUCUGUCGAUCACACUGACCGCCUCACCCCGGUUUAUGUCCCAAACGAUCACCAGGUGAUCGAAGCCGGCGCUGAAGAGCACGUUCUCGGCUACCGGGUGCCAUUCUAUGUAGGCGACCCGGCGUUUGUGCCCUUGGAGCUCCACCAGCCAAUCGGUCAGGUUUCGGGACAGGCCGCCGUCGGGGAUAUGCCAGAGCUUGAUCUAGAACCCGGGAAAAGCCAUCAGAAACGACUCUGGAACGAUCAGGAAGUGACACGCUGUUUGGAAACACUUGGACGAUGGUUUCGAAUAAGCACCCAGUCCAAUUGGUUCCAGCAGUUUCAAAAAGAAAAAAGCUGAUCCUACAGUGCAGUCGUCGGAGCAGGAGGCGAUGACGUUGUCGUUGAAAGGGUUCCACUUAAUGUCGAGGACUGGCCCUGUGUGCCCGGUGACCCUGCUGGCGUUGAAGUCUAGCCUCCCGGUCUGAAAGAUGGACGCGUGCUAUGACGUUAGAAGCCGGACUAAAAAUUGCAGGACGGCUUGUAACAACAUCCGCGAUUACGAGCUAUUUGCGUCGAUGUACAAUUCGAUACCCCGGGGUGUUACGAUAACACCGACGACGUUCGAUAAGAGAGCCCGAAGACACGCAUCGGCGAUUGCUCCACGUCUCAGCGAAGCGACCACUAACGAGAGACGGGCCAACAACACGAACGGAAAGUAUUUAUGCGUUUCUGGGACUCUCACCGGGCUCAGAAACCGUGAAGAAGAAAGUUCUCUGGAACGGAGCUGCCGAAAGCGCGCGCGAUCCUUCGAUCCCGCCGCGGUUUAUCAAUUGUUAUUAUUACCGUUCGGCCAUCGUCCGCGGUACGAGAAGAAUCCUGGUCAACGAUCCUAGUGUUGUACGUCCGAGCGGCCAUUGGCAGGGAACGCGCGCGGAAAACGAGCGGUAAUCGGCGCCGAUGUGAAAUCUUUUGGCGUUGGUCGCGCGUGGUGCAUAGGAGCCGAGCCGAGUGCAGCUAUGCGCGGCGAGACAGAUCAAAUUAUGCGACUUUUUCUCGCGAAAAGUGCGGCCGUCUGGCGGUCGGGGAAGGCUGUGUGCUGCCAGCGCGCCGGAGGCGAUCGCGAUCAAAAACGAGCGUGAUCGACGAGCAAGAAUUGUUUGUAAUUUCUAGAUGUAAUACAUAAUUGCACGAGAACGCUACCCACGCGGCUCGGACAAUUUCGAGAAGGAAAAAAUCGAAAGCGGCUAUCGGACGAUCGCGAAUCCGUGCCAGAUUAGAUCCGAUUAGUCCUAGCGCUUGCAGAGACUGCGGGCUCGGUAACACCGAUCCGAUAAGCCGAGUCCCAGAUUCGGUGAUCCCGAUUCCUCGAGAUCUGUUACAGCAAUUUUCAGCGUUCGAUCCGAUCCGAUCCGAUUGUAAUUCGAGAGAUCGUUUUUGUUAUUCUUUCGUUGCAUUCCUGUCGAUCGGACAAUACCAUCGAAUCGAUCGCGUUCCGCGAGUAACCCGACGUAAUAAUCAUCGCGUGCCACGCGGCCUGCAAUUAGGGUCACGAAUAUGUAUGUGUGUCUGUAUGUGUGUAGCACAGAACUUUCGGUUUAGCAGUCUCUUGAAAUGCUACAUGAACCGUUGGAGUUCGAACUGCAGAAAGUUAUUCAUUAUCGCGGCACGGUGGUCGAUCAUAGAAGAACCUGCUCGCCUCGUUAAUCGUCGGAACACGGUCCCUGGUCGGAGACAAAUAUAAUAGCUUUUUCUAUAUACAAAAGAAAACUUGUCGAACCAUGCAAACGAAACAAGUCGUUCUAACGAUACGGUAAACGCAGAUAUAUAACGUCGUGCUUCGUGCGGAAAGUCUUCGGUAAUUAAUAUUGAAACUAUUCUUGCCAUUUCUCCUCGACAUACCUCGAGACGAAAGGCAGGGUCCGUUUCACUCGGACUUGCGGGGAAUCGUAUCAAUUUUAUAUGGGAUCGAUCGGGCGACUGUCCUCGACAGGUAGAAUUUCAAUGAUCCGCCAUCGACGUUAACAAUCGUGGCAUGAACACGGUGAGUUUCUACUCGACCGUGUCAUUAGGAAUCGCGCGACUCCAAUGAUUCGUCAGGCUCUAACGAUCCGGUAAUGUAUAUGUUAAGUCUGGCAAUUUGCUUUUUCAACGGAAUGACUCGAAUCAAUGCACUUUUGUAGGAUAGCGAUGCGGAGAUCCUGACCACGUUUUCCAGCGAUCGGUACUGUUCUCCGCGUACCCGAAACGUCGGCACCGAUAAAAUCCUAAGUGGAAAUACCAGUAGCGACUGGCAACAAGAACGAUAGCCAACGGACUGUAGAGAACACUCGCCCGACUGGUCGAAAAGUCACCCGAACACCGAAACCACUCACCUGUUUAUCAUUGGUCAUGUCUGAUACCAAUCGGACUCGGCCGGCCGGGUACACGUGCGCUGUGAUACGUUGGUCGCCAGUGCAGAACAGGUACGUACAGGUGUGUAUGCGUGUGCGAUUGUGCGCGUCGCAAUUCGUACAAGCCAGGA